rnacentral:rRNA from 1 species
UACAGAGGUCCCAAGCGUUGUUCGGAUUCACUGGGCGUAAAGGGUGCGUAGGUGGUUGGGUAAGUCUGAUGUGAAAUCUCCGAGCUCAACUCGGAAAACUGCAUUGGAAACUAUCUGACUAGAGGAGUGGAGGGGGGGACUGGAAUACUUGGUGUAGCAGUGAAAUGCGUAGAUAUCAAGUGGAACACCAGUGGCGAAGGCGAGUCCCCUGGACAUCUCCUGACACUGAGGCACGAAAGCUAGGGGGAGCAAAACAGG